rnacentral:rRNA from 1 species
AAGCGGCAAAAGCUCAAAUUUGAAAUCUGGCACCUUCGGUGUCCGAGUUGUAAUUUGAAGAAGGUAACUUUGGAGUUGGCUCUUGUCUAUGUUCCUUGGAACAGGACGUCACAGAGGGUGAGAAUCCCGUGCGAUGAGAUGCCCAAUUCUAUGUAAAGUGCUUUCGAAGAGUCGAGUUGUUUGGGAAUGCAGCUCUAAGUGGGUGGUAAAUUCCAUCUAAAGCUAAAUAUUGGCGAGAGACCGAUAGCGAACAAGUACAGUGAUGGAAAGAUGAAAAGAACUUUGAAAAGAGAGUGAAAAAGUACGUGAAAUUGUUGAAAGGGAAGGGCUUGAGAUCAGACUUGGUAUUUUGCAAGCCUUACCUUCGUGGUGGGGUCCCCUGCAGUUUACUGGGCCAGCAUCGGUUUGGAUGGUGGGAUAAUGACUUGGGAAUGUGGCUUUGCUUCGGUAAAGUGUUAUAGCCCUUGUUGAUACCGCCUGUCUAGACCGAGGACUGCGUCUUUGACUAGGAUGUUGGCAUAAUGAUCUUAAGUCGCCCGUCUUGAAACACGGACCAA